rnacentral:rRNA from 1 species
UGCCAUACCAUGCUGAAUAUACCGGUUCUCGUUAGAUCACCGAAGUCAAGCAUCAUUGGGCGCGGUCAGUACUUGGGUGGGUGACCACCAGGGAACACCGCGUGCCGUU